rnacentral:lncRNA from 1 species
CGCUCAUAUCAAAAUAUUUAUAAAGCCAAACAAGUACAAAGUUGAAGAGCAAUGAGGAUCCAAAAUUCCUAAAAGUUGUGCCAAAUACGGCUAAGGUAAUCUUUGCCUGGGAUAAGAAAAUCCUUAGUUUUUCGAAAAAUUACAAAGUUUUGUAAACAGGAAAUUUAUAAAAAUGACCACAUUAUUGAUAUUCAUGUCAACACCGA